rnacentral:misc_RNA from 1 species
GGAAGGAUCAUUAACACUAAUCCAUCUCAUCUAAACUGAGCCUUAAGUUGCAGAGUUACAGCUGCCUGCUUCGGCGGGACAGCCUCUAGCUUCUGCAUCUCACAAACCUGUUAACUCAAAGGAAGCUAACUAAGCCCCAUUACUAAAACCAAAUUUUCAACGAUGGAUAUCUUGGUUCCCAUAACGAUGAAGAACGCAGCGAAGUGCGAUAAGCAGUGCGAAUUGCAGAACCGUGAGUCAUCAGAUCUUUGAACGCAACUGGCGCCGGCUGGCUCCCCAGUCGGCAUGCUUGUUUCAGUGUCUCGUUAUCUCCUCACCCAAAUCUUAAUGCUCGAGAUACCCUUCUCUUGCCAAGUAUGAAAGCACUCUGCAAUCUGCAGGCGAUCUCACUUGUUGAGAGUCGCACUCAAUGCAGCAGUCACAUUGAUCACAGUGUGAACUCAUUGAGAGUAGAAGCAGCUCAGCUAGUCUGUCAGUGCUUAGUGAACCAAACUUUACUGUCAUCUGAAAUCAAGCAGGACCACCCCCUGAACUUAAGCAUAUCACUAAGGGGAGGAAAAGAAAUUAACUAAGAUUGCCUCAGUAACGGCGAGUGAAGCGGCAAAAGCCCAAACUGGAAAUCUUCGUACUCCGUACGACGAAUUGUAAUCUAAAGGUGGGAAACUCACCUGGUGGUGGCGCAGAAGUUCCCUCGGAUGGGACGCCAGAGAGGGUGACAGCCCCGUAUGUGGUGCCACUGCCUAACGAGUUCCUUUCUACGAGUCGGGUUGUUUUGAAUUGCAGCCCUAAGCGGGGGAUAGACUUCCUCUAAGGCUAAAUAUAUAUGGGAAACCGAUAGCGAACAAGUACUGUGAAGGAAAGAUGAAAAGAACUUUGAAAAGAGAGUCAAAAGACUUGAAAUCGUUGAGAAGGAAGCGGUAGAAAUUUAUUGUGCGGCGGAGAAUGAUGGUGCUCGCCUAACCAUUCGUGCUUGUCAGCACCGCAAGGGCUGCUGGUGCGACGUGGGGAAGCGACAGCCGGAUUCUCCGUUGUAAAGCAAAAUGAGGUGCUGCUCCCACAAAAGUUUGGGGUCUAGGUUCGCCUCGUCCCCUUUGCUGGUGGGCGCAGCGCCUGAGGAAGCCUUGUGCGAUUUUGCUAAAAUGGUUUUUACCGACCCGUCUUGAAACACGGACCAAGGAGUCUAACACAUAUGCGAGUGUGCUGGUGGAAAAACCAACACGCGUAAUGAAAGUGACAGAUGCCAAGCGCAAGCAGCAGCAUCGGCCGACCAUGAUCCUCAGGUGAAAGGUUUGAGUAUGAGCAUAUCUGUUAGGACCCGAAAGAUGGUGAACUAUGCCUGGGUAGGGUGAAGCCAGGGGAAACUCUGGUGGAGGCUCGUAGCGGUUCUGACGUGCAAAUCGAUCGUCAAACUUGGGUAUAGGGGCGAAAGACUAAUCGAACCAUCUAGUAGCUGGUUCCCUC